CAAAUGCCAGCCAGGUUACUAUAUCCA
rnacentral:piRNA from 1 species